AGUCAAUCCUAAGAGACAGGGAAUCCUUGUAUCAAGGGUGCACACUACAUGAACAUCGAAGGAGAAUUGGGUUAAUAUUCCCGAAUCGGGACAUGGUGGUGGAAGACAAUUUUAGGAAAUAUGGAGAUGUCAUCAGGGGCCUGGGAAGAGUUAUCUUUUCUUUUUAACGACUUUCCCACUCUGAAAUCGGUUCAAAUAGAGAUAGGGUCCAACAUCUAGAAGAGAACCACACAUCUCACAGUGUUUGGUGCCCCCUCGACGACCAUUGAAAAUAUGGAGAACCAAGUACCAUCCAUGCCUGAUCGUACUCAUAUCUGCCUCCUUGGAUUUUUCAAUGCCC
rfam:Picea glauca, whole genome shotgun sequence.